ensembl:lncRNA
GUAAGGAGCAGGGCUGGGAGAGAGGGAGAAAGGGCCAGAAGUUGGCAGAGACAUCAUCCGUGCAAUGAGACCCUUCACAAUGGCCCCUCGGGAAACUCUCCCCAAGGAGCAGUUUCAUCUUAGAGUGGACAUGUUACAGGCCAGGGGUAGAUUGAUGGAAGUUGAACCCAAGUGGCAGAGAAAGCCAAAAGGACACAAGUGUCCAUCCUACUUGUAUCCACACCCUAGGAAGUAGUAGAAAUCUGGGAUUUAAAGCUCUAGGACCACGGAAUUUGGGGGCUGAAGGCAAAUUCGUCUAGAGCUCGAGGAGCAAGCAAGCCUCCAGCUGACUUCUGGAAUAUACAUAUUUGCAUUCAUAGCUGAGAAACAAUAGAAUAUUGAAAUCUCUAGUCCUUGGGUGAUUUUUCUCAAGCAGAAAAAGAAAAAGAAAAGGCUCUUUGUUUCAUUAUUCCAACCUUGAUCUUUCAUUCAUUCUCUAAGGGCAUAAAUGACUAUUUAUAUAUGUUUCCAUGAGUUAAAUCAUUCUUGAGGAUUUUUUGUUUGUAGUUGUUGUGUUGUUUCCUGCUAUGGAUUUUAACACAGAAGCCUUUCCUUUUGAGCCAAAAGUAUCAACAACUAGCACCCUACAACUGCCAGUGCCAGAUUCCUUUGUUCGUGGGUCCUUUUGCCAUAUAUUUUCUGGGGAACACAAUUAACUACAAAUGUGAAUAGUGUGUGUCUGCUGUGUAGGGAAACCUGAGGUGAGAGCGGCUGCCACCCACCAUUCCCCAGAAUGUGCCCAACACAGCCCUUGCAGAACUUGGAGCCCCAGGAGGAUCUAUUCUAGAUCACGUGGCCCUGCCAUUCCAGCCACAGCCAGGAGUGCAAAUCUAAGGCAAGAGCAGCCAAACCAUCGCCUCUGGGGUGGCCAUAGGUGAAAAGACAAGUCAGGCCAGUCAGAUUCUCUUUCUUGGGUAUUUGAAAGAGGAAAUGGGUGAAAGAAUGCUGAAAGUCUCUGUCAAGGAAGGCCAUGAGAUAGCUUUAGACGCCAUGAGGAAUCAUGAGCAAGCCAGAAUAGGAGAAAGCAAAAGGAGAGUGAAGCAGACAUAGGAAAGUUGAUUGCUUCAUAUUAACCCCACCUGUUCCUGCCGCAGGCACUGACUCCCCAGCCAUGUGAUGGAGCCACCUUGGAAAUGGAUCCUGCAGCCCAGUCAAGCCUUUGGACGAAUGCAGCUCCAACUGACAUCUUGACCAUAACCUUAUGAGAGAUCCUGAGCCAGACCCACCAGAUAAGCCACUCUCAAAUUCCUAAACUACAGGAAACAUAAGUAUAAUAAAUAUUUAUUGUUGCUUUAAGCCAUUAAGUUUUGGAGUAAUUUGUUACACAGUAGUAGCUAACUAAUGGAGUCCUAGUGGUAUUGACCUGCAGCCCCCCAUAGCUGUACACUUCUCAUCAACCCCUUCCCUGUGCUGCCUUAGAUCACCUCCAAAGAAAACCACCUGCGUUCAAAAUCUUAUCUCAGGGUUUGCUUUUGGAAUCGAAGAAAUCCCAGAGAAGGCUCUGGCCUGAAACUGCUGACCAACAUCACUGGUAAUUUAUUGAAGUUAUGAACAAAUGCCCGUGCUGCGUGGGCAAGAAAUAAAGAUGAAGCCUAAAUUUGCUAUGCUUUCUGUUCUGAUCAAAUAAAAUGUACAGCCAACUUCAUCUGUCAGAUAUUUAAUCAUAAUCAUUAUUGUGCUAUGUGGUAAUUAGGCAUAAAUGGAACAUAAAUGACUCUUGAUAGCACCAUUUUAUAUAUCAAACUGUAAUUUUUGUGUUUUUCUUCUCCCUUUGACAGUUUUCCAGUACCCAUCUCUACUCAGUGUCACUGUGGUUGGUUUCCCCUGAGUCAGAGUGGUC